UACGAAGGGGGCUAGCGUUGUUCGGAAUCACUGGGCGUAAAGCGCACGUAGGCGGAUUGUUAAGUCAGGGGUGAAAUGCCAAGGCUCAACCUUGGAACUGCCUUUGAUACUGGCAAUCUCGAGUCCGGGAGAGGUGAGUGGAACUGCGAGUGUAGAGGUGAAAUUCGUAGAUAUUCGCAAGAACACCAGUGGCGAAGGCGGCUACCUGGACCGGUUCUGACGCUGAGGCGCGAAAGCGUGGGUAGCAAACAGG
rnacentral:rRNA from 1 species